GAUGAACGCUAGCUACAGGCUUAACACAUGCAAGUCGAGGGGAAACGACAUCGAAAGCUUGCUUUUGAUGGGCGUCGACCGGCGCACGGGUGAGUAACGCGUAUCCAACCUGCCCACCACUUGGGGAUAACCUUGCGAAAGUAAGACUAAUACCCAAUGAUAUCUCUAGAAGACAUCUGAAGGAGAUUAAAGAUUUAUCGGUGAUGGAUGGGGAUGCGUCUGAUUAGCUUGUUGGAGGGGUAACGGCCCACCAAGGCGACGAUCAGUAGGGGUUCUGAGAGGAAGGUCCCCCACAUUGGAACUGAGACACGGUCCAAACUCCUACGGGAGGCAGCAGUGAGGAAUAUUGGUCAAUGGGCGAGAGCCUGAACCAGCCAAGUAGCGUGCAGGAUGACGGCCCUAUGGGUUGUAAACUGCUUUUAUAAGGGAAUAAAGUGAGCCUCGUGAGGCUUUUUGCAUGUACCUUAUGAAUAAGGACCGGCUAAUUCCGUGCCAGCAGCCGCAGUAA
rnacentral:rRNA from 1 species